UUUCAGGUUUUGACAAGUCAUUUUCUUCAAGCUCUGUUAUAGUUUUGAAUGAUACAAAUUUAUCUCUCACAUAUUCACGUUGCCAGGAUUCUUCGAGUACUUUUGCUGAGAUUUGAUUGAACGCUACGUUCCAAAAAUUCAAUAUUUCUUCCUGUUUUGUAUAUCCCAAAAUCAUCAGCAAACUGUCCACAAUCUGUAUCUCGUAAAGUUGAUGGAAGAUCAUCUACAAAAAUGAGAUAGAAACACGGAGACAGAAUUGAACCUUGACUAAGUCCUCGUAUCGGAUGCCUUGCUGCAAAUUUUAUUCCACCAUGGUAUUGCAUUUUUCGAUAAAGCAAUCACAUUUUGUGGAGUACAUGAUGUGACGCUGAGAAUUAUGCCCUGACACAGGAUAUCUGUAAUGAAUUCGAUCAAGCUCACUAUGUCCAUGGUUGAUGUUUGUGGAAUUGGAUUCUGUUGAGUAGGUGAGUAUGGAAUCGAUUUUUUUGUUUUUGCCUGUUUUGAUUGUGUUGACUCUGAUUCUGUUCUCUUUUGUUGUUUUUGAUCAUAUUUUUGAUUUUGAGGUUGCUAAUUUUCUUCGCCUGAAUUGUACGUGCUGCUUCAGCAUAGGUCAUGUUUCCUUGCUUUUGUAGAAUUUGAAUGUUUUUUUGCUUCUUAUACUCUGGGCAUUUGGGGCUAGCACCGCUAUGAUUUCCCAGGCAU